rnacentral:rRNA from 1 species
GUAGUCCACGCCCUAAACGAUGAUUACUCGAAGUGUGCGAUACACAGCACGCCUCUGAGCGAAAGCAUUAAGUAAUCCACCUGGGAAGUACGGCCGCAAGGCUGAAACUCAAAGGAAUUGACGGGGGCCCGCACAAGCGGAGGAGCAUGUGGUUUAAUUCGAUGAUACGCGAGGAACCUUACCUGGGCUUGAAAGUUAGUGAAUGCCGUAGAAACAUGGCAGCAAGCAAUUGCACGAAACUAGGUGCUGCAUGGCUGUCGUCAGCUCGUGCCGUGAGGUGUUGGGUUAAGUCCCGUAACGAGCGCAACCCCUAUUAUUAGUUGCCAACAGGUCAUGCUGGGGACUCUAAUAAGACUGCCCGCGCAAGCGGUGA